GGCGCGGGACGACCCGCCUUCUGGCCAUUCCUUGCGAGGGACGACCCUC
rfam:Rhizobiales bacterium 65-9 SCNpilot_cont_300_bf_scaffold_265, whole genome shotgun sequence.